UACGAAGGGGGCUAGCGUUGCUCGGAAUCACUGGGCGUAAAGCGCACGUAGGCGGCUUUCUAAGUCAGGGGUGAAAUCCUGGAGCUCAACUCCAGAACUGCCUUUGAUACUGGAGAGCUUGAGUCCGGGAGAGGUGAGUGGAACUCCGAGUGUAGAGGUGAAAUUCGUAGAUAUUCGGAAGAACACCAGUGGCGAAGGCGGCUCACUGGCCCGGUACUGACGCUGAGGUGCGAAAUCGUGGGGAGCAAACAGG
rnacentral:rRNA from 1 species